rnacentral:rRNA from 1 species
AUACGUAGGUGGCAAGCGUUGUCCGGAAUUAUUGGGCGUAAAGCGCGCGCAGGCGGUCCUUUAAGUCUGAUGUGAAAGCCCACGGCUCAACCGUGGAGGGUCAUUGGAAACUGGGGGACUUGAGUGCAGAAGAGGAAAGUGGAAUUCCAAGUGUAGCGGUGAAAUGCGUAGAGAUUUGGAGGAACACCAGUGGCGAAGGCGACUUUCUGGUCUGUAACUGACGCUGAGGCGCGAAAGCGUGGGGAGCAAACAGGAUUAGAUACCCUGGUAGUCCACGCCGUAAACGAUGAGUGCUAAGUGUUAGGGGGUUUCCGCCCCUUAGUGCUGCAGCUAACGCAUUAAGCACUCCGCCUGGGGAGUACGGUCGCAGGACUGAAACUUAAAGGAAUUGACGGGG